rnacentral:rRNA from 1 species
AUGGAGAACCAACAAAUCAACGAGGAAAACCAGACCUCUGCUUCAAUUGGAAAUGAUGUACCAAGCUGGAUACCACAAAUUGGCAUGAAGUUUAGCAGUUUGGAUGAGGCUUGGAUUUUUUGGGAGCAUUAUGGUGGCAGAGUUGGGUUUGGUGUUAGGAAAAGGUACUCAAAUCCGAGCAAAUUUGACGGAACAAUUACUUCAUGCAGAUUUGUGUGUCGUAAAGAGGGUCGUCGAGGAAAAGACAAAAGAGAUAAGCAUAUUAAGCAACCUCGAGCAGAAAUUAGGACUGGUUGCCAAGCUCGUAUGGGUCUCACAAUAGAUCGGGAAAAUGGUAAAUUACGAAGUUUUUGA